AAGAACAAUGUUGUGGGUUCCAGGUGUUUAAUGUCAGUUAUUUUCUACCCAGUCAGGUGACGAAGUGAUAUUCCGCGAAUGUCUAAGGUUGGCUGGCCAGCAGAGUUUGGAAGGUCGAACACCCUUUUUGGCUCUGCCUCUGCGUGGCCAGUUUCACAAAGAGGCUGCAGGAAGCUGCUUCCAGCAGGCUGAGUCCUGAGGAGGAGACGAUAACAGUGGGAGAAGCACCUGGUAACAGCGGCACUUCAUCCAGGAAGAAAACAGGAUCUAAAAUAUAAACAACAUCCUUACAACACA
rnacentral:lncRNA from 1 species